AUUGAACGCUGGCGGCAGGCUUAACACAUGCAAGUCGAGCGGAGAGAGGUAGCUUGCUACUGAUCUUAGCGGCGGACGGGUGAGUAAUGCUUAGGAAUCUGCCUAUUAGUGGGGGACAACAUUUCGAAAGGAAUGCUAAUACCGCAUACGUCCUACGGGAGAAAGCAGGGGAUCUUCGGACCUUGCGCUAAUAGAUGAGCCUAAGUCGGAUUAGCUAGUUGGUGGGGUAAAGGCCUACCAAGGCGACGAUCUGUAGCGGGUCUGAGAGGAUGAUCCGCCACACUGGGACUGAGACACGGCCCAGACGCCUACGGGAGGCAGCAGUGGGGAAUAUUGGACAAUGGGCGGAAGCCUGAUCCAGCCAUGCCGCGUGUGUGAAGAAGGCCAUAUGGUUGUAAAGCACUUUAAGCGAGGAGGAGGCUACUUUAGUUAAUACCUAGAGAUAGUGGACGUUACUCGCAGAAUAGGCACCGGCUAACUCUGUGCCAGCCGCCGCCGUAA
rnacentral:rRNA from 1 species